rnacentral:rRNA from 1 species
AUUGAACGCUGGCGGCAUGCCUUACACAUGCAAGUCGAACGGCAGCACGGAGCUUGCUCUGGUGGCGAGUGGCGAACGGGUGAGUAAUAUAUCGGAACGUACCCAAGAGUGGGGGAUAACGUAGCGAAAGUUACGCUAAUACCGCAUACGAUCUAAGGAUGAAGGCAGGGGACCGCAAGGCCUUGUGCUCCUGGAGCGGCCGAUAUCUGAUUAGCUAGUUGGUGAGGUAAAGGCUCACAAAGGCAUCGAUCAGUAGCUGGUCUGUGAGGACGACCAGCCACACUGGAACUGAGACACGGUCCAGACUCCUACGGGAGGCAGCAGUGGGGAAUUUUGGACAAUGGGGGCAACCCUGAUCCAGCAAUGCCGCGUGAGUGAAGAAGGCCUUCGGGUUGUAAAGCUCUUUUGUCAGGGAAGAAACGGUCGUGGCUAAUAUCCAUGGCUAAUGACGGUACCUGAAGAAUAAGCACCGGCUAACUACGUGCCAGCAGCCGCGGUAA